rnacentral:rRNA from 1 species
UACGUAGGGGGCUAGCGUUGUCCGGAAUCAUUGGGCGUAAAGAGCGUGUAGGCGGCCCGGUAAGUCCGCUGUAAAAGUCAAAGGCUCAACCUUUGAAUGUCAGUGGAUACUGCCGGGCUAGAGUCCGGAAGAGGCGAGUGGAACUCCUGGUGUAGCGGUGAAAUGCACAGAUAUCAGGAAGAACACCCGUGGCGAAGGCGGCUCUCUGGUACGUGACUGACGCUGAGACGCGAAAGCGUGGGGAGCAAACAGG